UAGAAAGAGAGAGAGAGACCUCCGCAUGACUCUGAGAAAGGAAAAAGUAACUCCUGUAGUGCAUUUCACACUUUCAGACGUCAUUUUUUUAAACAAACUCAUCACCUGGCGUUUUAAAUCUCAAACUUUUAAGAGAGCAGGGUGGGUUUGUUUUUCUCCAUCUGUUUAAAAAAAAAAAAAAAAGUUUGUGAGGUCGUUUUAUUUGCUGGGUUUUUUUUGUGACGUGCUCUGCUGCGCCCAGCUACACACUGAAUUAUCCAGCUACAUAAUUAAUCAUGAAUGAUACGACGCCUUUGACAACAC